AUGGACGCACGUGCCGGCACCCCAUUCACCCCAUCCUACAACCGCGACCCCUCCACCGCCGCCGCAAACCCUAGCACGGGGAGCGUUGGCCUUAGCUCCUCCGAGCAUCGGCCUCGCGCGCGGCCUCUUCAUGCCGCCGUAGAUGACCUCGGCGGCGGGUGGCGUCGCGCCGGCGCCGCCCCGUGCCGCCGCCCCUCCUCGAAGCUCCCCAAUGCGGCGCGGCCGAAGAAGGGCAAGACAUCCGCGAAGAAGAACAAGGCGUCGGACGGCUCCGGCACCUCGAAGGCGAGGAGGAAGAAGCUUGCAGGGCGUGUGACGGGCGCGGCGGCUACCGAAGCGCCGGCGAGCUCACUCGUUGAGCCGGCGGCCGACGCGCACAACGUGUUCAACGAUAUGCCCCAAAGUCUCAACAAUGGUGCAUACAUGUCAAUUAUGGGUGUUGGCUCCAACAAUUCGCAUUGGUCUCAAAUCAAUGACAUGCAUUUCGAAGACCAUGAGUUCGAGGUGGACGAGGAUGGUGAGGGCAUUGUCGACGCGCCGAAAGGAAGAGCGGGCAAUUACACCAACGCCGAAGACAUCUUACUAUGCAAUACUUAG
rnacentral:rRNA from 1 species